AGUGAACGCUGGCGGUAGGCCUAACACAUGCAAGUCGAACGGCCGCACAGUAAGAGCUUGCUCUUACGGGUGGCGAGUGGCGGACGGGUGAGGAAUACAUCGGAAUCUACUUUUUCGUGGGGGAUUACGUAGGGAAACUUACGCUAAUACCGCAUACGACCUACGGGUGAAAGCAGGGGAUCUUCGGACCUUGCGCGAUUGAAUGAGCUGAUGUCGGAUUAGCUAGUUGGCGGGGUAAAGGCCCACCAAGGCGACGAUCCGUAGCUGGUCUGAGAGGAUGAUCAGCCACACUGGAACUGAGACACGGUCCAGACUCCUACGGGAGGCAGCAGUGGGGAAUAUUGGACAAUGGGCGAAAGCCUGAUCCAGCCAUACCGCGUGGGUGAAGAAGGCCUUCGGGUUGUAAAGCCCUGUUGUUGGGAAAGAAAAGCAGCAGGUUAAUACCCCGCUGUUCUGACGGUACCCAAAGAAUAAGCACCGGCUAACUUCGUG
rnacentral:rRNA from 1 species